rnacentral:rRNA from 1 species
UACGUAGGGUGCGAGCGUUAAUCGGAAUUACUGGGCGUAAAGUGUGCGCAGGCGGCAAAGCAAGUCGAGUGUGAAAGCCCCGGGCUUAACUUGGGAAUUGCGCUCGAAACUACUUUGCUGGAGUGUGGCAGAGGAAGUGGAAUUCCACGUGUAGCGGUGAAAUGCGUAGAGAUGAUGGAGGAACACCAAUGGCGAAGGCAGCCUUCUGGGCCAACACUGG